AUUGAACGCUGGCGGCAGGCUUAACACAUGCAAGUCGAGCGGAGAGAGGUAGCUUGCUACUGAUCUUAGCGGCGGACGGGUGAGUAAUGCUUAGGAAUCUGCCUAUUAGUGGGGGACAACAUUUCGAAAGGAAUGCUAAUACCGCAUACGUCCUACGGGAGAAAGCAGGGGAUCUUCGGACCUUGCGCUAAUAGAUGAGCCUAAGUCGGAUUAGCUAGUUGGUGGGGUAAAGGCCUACCAAGGCGACGAUCUGUAGGGGGUCUGAGAGGAUGAUCCGCCACACUGGGCCGGAGAAACGGCCCAGACUCCUACGGGGGGCAGCAGUGGGGAAUAUUGGAAAAUGGGCGGAAGCCUGACCCAGCCAUGCCGCGUGUGUGAAGAAGGCCUUCGGGUUGUAAAGUACUUUCAGCGGGGAGGAAGGCGGUGAAGUUAAUAGCUUCACCGAUUGACGUUACCCGCAGAAGAAGCACCGGCUAACUCCGUGCCAGCCGCCGCAGUAA
rnacentral:rRNA from 1 species